AGAGUUUGAUCCUGGCUCAGGAUGAACGCUGGCGGCGUGCCUAACACAUGCAGGUCGAGCGAGAUUUAUGUGAGUGGAGACUUCGGUUGAAGCGAGCAUAAUGAAAGCGGCGGACGGGUGAGUAACGCGUGAGCAAUCUGCCCCAUACAAAGGGAUACCCACUGGAAACGGUGAUUAAUACCUUAUAAGACCACAGAGUCGCAUGGCUUAGGGGUCAAAGAUUUAUCGGUAUGGGAUGAGCUCGCGUCUGAUUAGCUAGUUGGUGAGGUAAUGGCUCACCAAGGCGACGAUCAGUAGCCGACCUGAGAGGGUGAACGGCCACACUGGAACUGAGACACGGUCCAGACUCCUACGGGAGGCAGCAGUGGGGAAUAUUGCACAAUGGGCGCAAGCCUGAUGCAGCAACGCCGCGUGAAUGAUGAAGGCCUUCGGGUCGUAAAGUUCUGUCCAAAGGGAAGAAUACAGUGACGGUACCUUUGGAGGAAGCCCCGGCUAACUACGUGCCAGCAGCCGCGGUAAUACGUAGGGGGCAAGCGUUAUCCGGAAUCACUGGGCGUAAAGGGAGCGUAGGCGGUUUGACAAGCCAGGGGUGAAAGGCAAUAGCUUAACUAUUGUAAGCCUUUGGAACUGUCGAACUUGAGUGCAGGAGAGGAAAGUGGAAUUCCUAGUGUAGCGGUGAAAUGCGUAGAUAUUAGGAGGAACACCAGUGGCGAAGGCGACUUUCUGGACUGUAACUGACGCUGAGGCUCGAAAGCGUGGGGAGCGAACAGGAUUAGAUACCCUGGUAGUCCACGCUGUAAACGAUGAAUACUAGGUGUCUGGUGUCAAAGCUAGGUGCCGCAGCUAACGCAUUAAGUAUUCCGCCUGGGGAGUACGCACGCAAGUGUGAAACUCAAAGGAAUUGACGG
rnacentral:rRNA from 1 species